rnacentral:lncRNA from 1 species
CCCAUCCAGGGUGUUCGGUGGCAUUGCCAGGAUUGUCCUCCAGAAAUGUCUUUGGAUUUCUGUGAUUCUUGUUCAGACUGUCUACAUGAAACAGAUAUUCACAAGGAAGAUCACCAAUUAGAACCUAUUUAUAGGUCAGAGACAUUCUUAGACAGAGACUACUGUGUGUCUCAGGGCACCAGUUACAAUUACCUUGACCCAAACUACUUUCCAGCAAACAGAUGACAUGGAAGAGAACAUCAUUUACUAGUCCUCUUCAACACAUAGCAAUGGUAUCAUUGUUAAUUAUGUGCACAGUUUGGAAAGAUUCUCUGCUUUCCCAGAAAUGACACUCACAGCAUGAGAGCUUCCUGAGUGUUCUCGUCAAGUACAGCUCUGCACCGUUGUGGCUCUAGAUCACUGUUCAGCAGCUGAACAUUCCUGGUGAGCAAAGGUUUCCCUGGUGAAUUUUUCACCACUGCGUUUUAGGUGGUGAUCUUAAAUGGGUGAGAUGGAACGAGAGCACACAUUAAAGAGAGAGUAAAUUCCAAAGGUUUCAAAGAACUUGGUCAUAAAUAUGAUAAUGAGAAGACAAAGUAUUUAUAUUAAAACAGUUUAGUAGCCUUCAGUUUUGUGAAAAUAGUUUUCAGCACAGAAACUGACUUCUUUAGACAAAGUUUUAACCAAUGAUGGUGUUUGCUUCUAGGAUAUACACUUUAAAAGAACUCACUGUCCCAGUGGUGGUCAUUGAUGGCCUUUAGUAAAUUGGAGCUGCUUAAUCAUAUUGAUAUCUAAUUUCUUUUAACCACAAUGAAUUGUCCUUAAUUACCAACAGUGAAGCACUACAGGAGGCAACUGUGGCAUUGCUUCCUUAACCAGCUCAUGGUGUGUGAAUGUUAUAAAAUUGUCACUCAGAUAUAUUUUUUAAAUGUAAUGUUAUAUAAGAUGAUCAUGUGAUGUGUACAAACUAUGGUGAAAAGUGCCAGUGGUAGUAACUGUGUAAAGUUUCUAAUUCACAACAUUAAUUCCUUUAAAAUACACAGCCUUCUGCCUCUGUAUUUGGAGUUGUCAGUACAACUCAUCAAAGAAAACUGCCUAAUAUAAAAAUCAUAUAUAUGGUAAUAAUUUCCCUCUUUUGUAGUCUGCACAAGAUCCAUAAAAGAUUGUAUUUUUAUUACUAUUUAAACAAGUGAUUAAAUUUAGUCUGCACAGUGAGCAAGGGUUCACAUGCAUUCUUUUAUACUGCUGGAUUUUGUUGUGCAUCAUUUAAAACAUUUUGUAUGUUUCUUCUUAUCUGUGUAUACAGUAUGUUCUUGAAUGAUGUUCAUUUGUCAGGAGAACUGUGAGAAAUAAACUAUGUGGAUACUGUCUGUUUAUAUUA